GUUCGAACGGCUGCGAGCGUGGAAGGAUGGAUGCUUUUCUGAGCCUGGUCAAAGAUGCUCGCGCCGGUAAAAGGACGAGCCGAAGACGUCGUUGGAACGCCCACGCUCCGUAUCGCGUCGCGUCCAAUUACAUUAUAUGCGUAGACGGCAUAAAUACUUGUAAUACGCGUCGCUUCAAGGAAGAACAAGACGCCGGGAGUCGGAUGGAACACGUUGGGAAUGGUCCGCGAAGGUGGAGAAGAAAAAGGAGGUGUCUGUCUGUUCUCGCCGGUAAGAAGCGGACGGUUAUUCAGCGAUGAGGCAUUUCUUUGAACGAGUG